rnacentral:rRNA from 1 species
UACGUAGGGUGCGAGCGUUGUCCGGAAUUAUUGGGCGUAAAGAGCUUGUAGGCGGUUUGUCGCGUCUGCCGUGAAAAUCCGGGGCUCAACCCCGGACUUGCGGUGGGUACGGGCAGACUAGAGUGUGGUAGGGGAGACUGGAAUUCCUGGUGUAGCGGUGAAAUGCGCAGAUAUCAGGAGGAACACCAAUGGCGAAGGCAGCUCACUGGGACGGUAUUGACGCUGAGACGCGAAAGCGUGGGGAGCAAACAGG